CCUACGGGUGGCAGCAGUGGGGAAUAUUGGACAAUGGGCGCAAGCCUGACCCAGCCACGCCGCGUGAAGGAAGAAGGCUUUCGGGUUGUAAACUUCUUUUCUCAGGGACGAAGCAAGUGACGGUACCUGAGGAAUAAGCCACGGCUAACUACGUGCCAGCAGCCGCGGUAAUACGUAGGUGGCAAGCGUUAUCCGGAUUUACUGGGUGUAAAGGGCGUGUAGGCGGGACGGCAAGUCAGAUGUGAAAACCAUGGGCUCAACCUAUGGACUGCAUUUGAUACUGGAGUUCUUGAGUACCGGAGAGGAAGACGGAAUUCCUAGUGUAGCGGUGAAAUGCGUAGAUAUCAGGAGGAACACCAGUGGCGAAGGCGGCCUCCUGGACAGCAACUGACGCUGAGGCGCGAAAGCGUGGGGAGCAAACAGGAUUAGAUACCCUAGUAGUC
rnacentral:rRNA from 1 species